AUUGAACGCUGGCGGAAUGCUUUACACAUGCAAGUCGAACGGCAGCACGGACUUCGGUCUGGUGGCGAGUGGCGAACGGGUGAGUAAUGUAUCGGAACGUGCCCAGUCGUGGGGGAUAACGUAGUGAAAAUUACGCUAAUACCGCAUACGAUCUAUGGAUGAAAGCGGGGGAUCGCAAGACCUCGCGCGAUUGGAGCGGCCGAUAUCAGAUUAGGUAGUUGGUGGGGUAAAGGCCCACCAAGCCAACGAUCUGUAGCUGGUCUGAGAGGACGCCCAGCCAAAAUGGAACUGAGACACGGUCCAGACUCCUACGGGAGGCAGCAGUGGGGAAUUUUGGACAAUGGGCGAAAGCCUGAUCCAGCCAUUCCGCGUGCAGGAUGAAGGCCCUCGGGUUGUAAACUGCUUUUGUACAGAACGAAAAGGUUUCUACUAAUACUAGGAGCUCAUGACGGUACUGUAAGAAUAAGCACCGGCUAACUACGUGCCAGCAGCCGCGGUAA
rnacentral:rRNA from 1 species